GACGAACGCUGGCGGCGUGCUUAACACAUGCAAGUCGAACGGAAAGGCCCUGCUUUUGUGGGGUGCUCGAGUGGCGAACGGGUGAGUAACACGUGAGUAACCUGCCCUUGACUUUGGGAUAACUUCAGGAAACUGGGGCUAAUACCGGAUAGGAGCUCCUGCUGCUUGGUGGGGGUUGGAAAGUUUCGGCGGUUGGGAUGGACUCGCGGCUUAUCAGCUUGUUGGUGGGGUAGUGGCUUACCAAGGCUUUGACGGGUAGCCGGCCUGAGAGGGUGACCGGCCACAUUGGGACUGAGAUACGGCCCAGACUCCUACGGGAGGCAGCAGUGGGGAAUAUUGCACAAUGGGCGGAAGCCUGAUGCAGCAACGCCGCGUGCGGGAUGACGGCCUUCGGGUUGUAAACCGCUUUCGCCUGUGACGAAGCGUGAGUGACGGUAAUGGGUAAAGAAGCACCGGCUAACUACGUG
rnacentral:rRNA from 1 species